rnacentral:rRNA from 1 species
AUUGAACGCUGGCGGCAGGCUUAACACAUGCAAGUCGAGCGAGCGGCGGACGGGUGAGUAAUGUCUGGGAAACUGCCUGAUGGAGGGGGAUAACUACUGGAAACGGUAGCUAAUACCGCAUACCAUCAGAUGUGCCCAUAUGGGAUUAGCUAGUAGGUGGGGUAAUGGCUCACCUAGGCGACGAUCCCUAGCUGGUUUGAGAGGAUGACCAGCCACACUGGGACUGAGACACGGUCCAGACUCCUACGGGAGGCAGCAGUGGGGAAUAUUGCACAAUGGGGGCAAGCCUGAUGCAGCCAUGACGCGUGUAUGAAGAAGGCCUUCGGGGUGUAAAGCACUUUCAGCGGGGAGGCGUUACUCGCAGAAGAAGCACCGGCUAACUCCGUGCCAGCAGCCGCGGUAAUAC